rnacentral:sRNA from 1 species
CCAGCACCCAACUUUACCACCCUCCCCCACCUCUCCCCCGAAACUCCAGCAACAAAGAAAAGUAGUCGGAGAAGGAGCGGCGACUCAGGGUCGCCCGCCCCUCCUCACCGAGGAAGGCCGAAUACAGUUAUGGCCACCCAGCACACCUGAAACACCACACCAGAGCUGGGGAUAAUGAGCGAGUCUACAAGUGUAUCAUUUGCACAUACACAACAGUGAGCGAGUAUCACUGGAGGAAACAUUUAAGAAACCAUUUUCCAAGGAAAGUAUACACAUGUGGAAAAUGCAACUAUUUUUCAGACAGAAAAAACAAUUAUGUUCAGCAUGUUAGAACUCAUACAGGAGAACGCCCAUAUAAAUGUGAACUUUGUCCUUACUCAAGUUCUCAGAAGACUCAUCUAACUAGACAUAUGCGUACUCAUUCAGAAAGGGAAAAGAUUACAGCAAACACCUCAAUCGCCAUUUGGUUAAUGUGUACUAUCUUGAAGAAGCAGCUCAAGGGCAGGAGUAAUGAAACUUUGAACAAGGUUUCAGUUCUUAGUUUG